AAAGAAGAUAUCCAAAUAGCCAACAGACACGGGAAAACGUGCUCCACAUCACUCGGCAUCAGGGAACGACAAAUCCAAACCACAAUGAGAUCCCACCUCACACCAGUCAGA